rnacentral:lncRNA from 1 species
AAACCUAAAGUAAUAAUGCCUAGCCGAUUUCCAAGGUACAGCUGGACACCAAUAGCCUCUUCUUAUCUUUUCCAACGUUACUUUCUGUGCAGUCGAAUAGCUUCUCUUUUAGUUUUCAAUUCUUCCUGCACAAAAUCCUCUCUAAUCUGGGCAUAUUCUCCAUCGUCCUUCCGGGUUCAAAUGGAAAAGGUCUAGGUUCGCUCUCAACUGGUAUGUUUCCUCUCUUUUCUUUAAAGAUUCUUCUGCUACUUUGUGGGCAUGGACGUUGUUUGUUUUGUUUAUAAUCUGGAACCUGAUUUCAUGAAACCAUGCUUUCUUACUUUGAGUGUCACUGAUUAUCGCCCCGAUGACUGACUUAUCUUGUUCUUGUGAUUGCCAUUUUUUAAUAACUGAGCAAGAAUCUCCCCUUAUCAUGACUGAGCGAAGGUCCAACGAUAUUCCUAACUUUACAGCCUGUAGUCCUGCAUAGGCUUCAACUGUGAAAGGCGAUGGAACAUUUGAGUGUAAUACAGUUUUUGAUGCCAAAAGUUCCCCCGAACAGUCCUAAGCCACCAAACCUGAAGCUGAUUUAAAGUUUCUUUUAUCGAAGGCUGCGUUAAACUUGAUUUCCGCCCUAGUAUUAAUUUCUUGACUGCUAUGAUUUUUGUCUAUGGUCAAGCUUGAUCUAUCUAUUAUACUUGUAAGUUCAGCCAUAUAGCUUUGUAUUCUUUGUGAUAACUCUCUUGCUGUCUCUGUUUUCCUUUCAUGGACAAGCCUGUUUCUCAAGUUCCAGAUGAGCCAUAUUCCACAGCAGACCAUUCGGCACUGUUCAGAAAAGAAACUCUUAAAGAUCUAGGUAAGCCAGUCCCUUAUACUUAGAUUUGUGCUAUGUAGUACCCACGAGAAGUCUAACCUUUUCCAUACCUCUGUUGUUAUAGGACAUUACCAAAAAACGUGAAUACUGUCUUCCUCUUUGUUUUCGCAUCGAGGACACACUACAUUAACCGUUACUCAUUUAGAUCUUAGGCUGACAAGAAUAGAAAUAUAAUUCCAAGAAAUACGCCAUAUUGUGAUUGUAAUCUUCGUAGGCAUCUAUAGAUUCCAAAGUUUUUUUUUUUUGUAGAAAUCUUUUAGAUUCGUUUGUAUUAAAAGAUUAGAAUCUAAGCUAGCCUCCUGUAAUAGUUUAUAGGCGCUUCUUAUUGAAAAUUUACCGGAUGUUUCCCCUCUCCAUACUUGGAAAUCGUCAUAAGGUGUUUCCGAAAUAGGGGUCUGCAAGAUUUGUUGAGCUACUUCUGUUGGAAAGGUACUAUUAAUUUUGUCUUUUAUGUUCUUGUUGAAGCUUUAAUUAAGUCUGAUAUUAACUCUAUUCUGUUGUUUCUAUUGCUCCGUUCGUUCGUGAUCUGUCCUUGGAUCUAUCUAUACUUCCAUACAGAAAUUCCAUCGCCUCUUCCAACUCUCCAACCCAGUCCAUUCUGUAGUAAGCCAUUUGCAGCCCAGAUAAUCCUCCAAGUAAGAGAAGGUAAGUUCCCUAGGUGAGAAUUAAGAAAAUCUGACUGCAGAUAAUAUUUAGCUUUAAGAGCUCUCGCCAAUAACGAAUUCGGAUAAGUAAUGAGGUGCCACCCCUGCUUGGCUAAUAAAGCGAUAUUAAACUGACUAAAAUUUCUAAAACCAAGGCCCCCUUUAACCUUUAAGAUACACAGAUUCCUCCAUGUACACCAAUGUAUUCCUUUUUUCCUAUGCCCCUUUUCCCACCAAAACUUGGCAAUAAUACUCUCUAAUUCAACAUAUAACGAAUUUGGUAAAAGAAAACAGGCCAUUGUAUAUGUUACACCCCUUAUCCGUGUUCGAGGCCGGGAUAGGAUAUGAGGCAUUACCAGGUUUAAACAUAUAUAAUCACAUAAAAUCAACCAUAAAAUUUUGUCUAGAUCAAAAACAUUCAUACAUAUGUAUGAUGUCCUUUAGACGGGCUUAUGAGGCUAUAUACAUGUAUUAAAGAUGAUUCGGGACUAAAUUGAAAAUUUUAAAAACUUUUGGGUAAACUUUAAAAAUUUUAUCAUGAAACAGGGUCACAAGCUUGUGCGGGUAAGCCAUAUGGUCACAAAUGCCCGUGUGGCUUGGGACACGCUUGUGUCCUCAGGCCGUGUAACUCUCUGUUUAUGAUGUCAUCACAAAAUAAGGGCACACGGCCAAAGCACACACUCAUGUCCCAAGGCUAUGUCCUUCACACGGUCGAGACACAUGAUCGUGUCUUAGCAUGUGUGACCAAUUCGAUGUUAAAGUACAAGAUACAGGAGAUACACGGCCGGACUACACGCCCAUGGGGGUAGGCUGUGUGUCACACAAGACUUAAACACACGCCCGUGUGUCUACUUGUGUAGACAAAUAAGGUUAUUUUCCAAGCCAUUUGCCACCCAUAGUUGUACACACACUUAUACAUCUCUAUAGCAAUUAACAUACUUAAUUGAGCAAUUAUACAUCCACAAUCAAGGCUCAAGCAUGGCAUCCUCACAAUAACACAUGCAUGCACGUAACAUUUCUCUUAUUCAAGUCCAAACUUACUAGAACACAUAUAAUAUAUAUAAUUGGUUUACCUCCAAUUUAUCCAUUUAUGUCAUGAUUAUCAACAUGCCAACAAAUCUAAUUUAAAUCUUCAAGCAUUCAUGCCUUAUAACAAAAUCGAAGUCUUCAAAGCAUUAGCACAUACAUGUAUACAAAAUUUGAUUUACGACCAUUUAAGCCAUAUAAGCAAAUUUGCAUGGCUACCCACAACAUCAAUCUAUUAACUAUUACAAGCCAAUGCAUUUGGCUAAAUUAUAACGACAUAUUCACAAAGUGACUUAGUCCCUAUACAUGCCAUAAACUUAAAAGAUUUGCAUAUGUUUUUACCCAACGUGAUAACUUGAUAAUGUGAUGACAUCUCCUGCAAUCUCCAACCCGAACUAGCGAAAAUAACCUAUAAGAGAUGAAAAAAGGAGGGGAGUAAGCUAUAAAGCUUAGUAAGUUCAUAUGAAAAUAAUAAUAAAUUUUAUUAAUAUGUUUUUACCAAAUUCUUACAACAUGCUCUCAAGGUAUCACAAUUAUAAUUGCAUGUUAAUCCAUUAUUUGAUCAAAUUCCAAUUAAGUUGUCUACUCAAGUCAUAGACACUAAAUUUUUUAUAUCUAGAUCUAUGGAGCUCCAAUUUAAAAUCUGUUAAUCUUUUCUAAAACUAGACUCACAUAUCUUCUUACCAUAAAAUUUUUAAAAUUUUUGGUUCAACCAAUUAGUAUAGUUUAUUCUUCAAAUUUACCCUUUUUUUGCUGUUCGAUAGUUCUGACCCCUCUUUACUAAAAUUUAAUUAUCUUCUCAUACGGGAUUCGAAUGAUGUUCCCAUUUGUUUAUUUUGAAAAUAAACUCAUUAAAAAAUCUAAGAAUAUAAAUUAUAACCCAUAAUUAUUUUUUUACAAUUUUUGGUUAUUUUCCCAAAUUAGAACAAGGGAUGUAAAAAACAUUUUGACUUUGUCUCACGAAAAUUCAAAUAUCUCAUAAUCUGAUAUUAUUUUUCUUAUACCGUUUCUUCUAUGUGAAACUAGGCUCAAUAAUAUUUAAUUCCAUAUUUUAUUCAGCCUCUAACUCAUUUUAUAUUAUUUUUGGUGCAUUUUCAAAUUCGGACUGCUACUGCUGUCCAAAACUGUUUUUGUAUAAAAUAAUUAUAACUAAGUCAAUAACACUUUUACCAAUUAUUCCAACCAUCAUGGUAGAAAUACAUAUCUUACUCAUUUGUAUCCUUACCAAUAAUGCGUCAUAAACCAAAUUCACUUCACCUGAGUUAUAUGUACAUACCCGUACCACUUGUAAUACGAUCACGUACCUUCUCGUUUUGAACAUACCCGUUGGAUCAUUCAGAAUACCAAGGGUUACUUGGAAAUGUCAUACAUAUAGUAUUGUUUCAAUGCCAUAUUCCCGAUAUGGUCUUACAUGAAAUAUCAUAUUGAUGCCAUGUCCCCGACAUAGUCUUAUACAAAAUCACAUACCAAGACCAUAUCCCGAAUAUGGUCUUAUACGGAAUCUUAAUAACCUUAUUGUUUUGACAUUUGUACCCUAUUCAUUUCUAAGAUUCAUUCGGGAUUUCUCAUUCAUCGGAACGUUGUCAUAAUCAUCAUUGAUAAAUUUCAUGGGAAAAAAAUGUACAAUUCAUGCAAUACCAAAAUAUAAAAUACAUAACAUAAGGUAGUAUCUUUUACACAUGAACUUACCUCGACACUAAAGUUAUCAAAAAGUGACCUAACCAUCGAUUCCUCGUUUUUCCUCUGUUCUAGGUCCAAACCUCAAUUUCUUCGAUCUAUAAUGUCACAUUUAGUCUAAUUAUUAGUCACAUUAUUCAAUGUGGUCCAAAUAUCAUAUUUUAGCAAAAUUAUGUUUUUGCUCUUGAACUUUGUCAUAAUUACACUUUUUCCCCUAGACUCGUAAAAUGAAAUCCACUCAAUUUCUUUGUUACCCAAGCCUAGUCGAACCAUUUUCAUAACUAUAACGUCUCAAAAAUUUCAUUAAAACACACUCUUACUACACAUUUUAUAACUUUCUCAAAACGGUCCUUUUUGCACCUUUUUUACCAAAAAAUACUUUAACACAAGAUGUUUAUCUAACACCCAACAUUCAUUUUCUUCCAUUAGAUAUCAAAACACAAGCAUGUCCUUCAUGGGUAAGUUUUUAGACAUGAGCCCUAGCUUAAAAUAAUGGUAGAAAUAGGUAAAUCGAGUUACAGGAACUUCAAAAAUAUAAAGAACUUUGAAAACGGGGCUAGGGAUCACUUACUAUUGAGCUUGAAAGUUUGAACAAAACCCUAGCCAUGGCUUCUAUAGGGGUUUCGGCUGGAGCAAGAAGAUGGAGGCCAAUUUUGGCUAUUUUGGGCUUUUAAUUCACUUAUUUACUAGAUUACCUAAAUGUUUCUAACUUAAAAAUUGUUCAUUUCACCUAUCUCAUGUCCAUUUUUGUCCAAAAAAUGUCCAAUGGUCCAAUUAAUAUAUAAAGACCUCUAAUUUAAAGUCCAUAGCAAUUUGAAACCUUUAACAUCUAAAACUCACAUUUUGCACUUUUUACGAUUUAGUCCUUUUGACCAAAUAAGUGCCCAAACAUCAAAAUUUUUAAAUGAAAAUUUCACGAAUUCAUUCUGUGAAAUUGUAAUAUCCUGAAUUAGGGCUUAAUCGGAAUAAUGGUUUCGUAACCACAAAUUCGAGAUAGAAAUAAUUAUUUUAUAAUUAUUUUGAUGAUUAUUAUAUGAUUGCAUGAUUUUGUGAAAAUUUCAUGAUGAAAUUCUAUGCCUAAAGUGCUUAAAUUGAAAGUAGGGACUAAAUCGAAUAAGUUGCAAAAUUUGCAUUCUAGAAGUUUUUAGUAUGAAAUUGCAUUGAAAUAUUAAUUAAGAGACCUUAAAUAGCAAUUUUACCAAUUUUAAGUUCACGGACAAAAUUAAAACAUGGAAGGAAUUUUAAACUUUAGUAAGGAGGGGCAUUUUGGUUAUUUGGAUAUUAAAUGAAAUAAAAUGGGAAAAAUAACACAAAAUUGGUCAUCAUCCUCCUUAGUUGCAUCCGAAUUCUCCCUCUCUCUAUAGCUAGGGUUUCUUCAACUUUCAAGCUCCAUAGUAAGUGAUUCCAAGCCCCGUUUUAAUGUUCUUUACAUUUUUGGAAUCCCGGAAGCUCGAUUAAGCUUAUGCUAGCAAUAAUUCAACCUAGGGUUUAUAUUUGGAAAAAUACCCAUAGGUGAAAUUUGUGUAUUUUGAUGUUUUAUGAUAGAAUAUGGGGUUUUAAAUUAUGUUAGACAACUUGUGAUACUCGGUUUUGAGUGAAAACGAGUAAAAGGGCUUAAUCGGUAAAAAUACCUAAUAGUCACAAGUAUAUGUUAGAGUGAGAAUUUGAUGUUGCCAUAGAAGGGAAAAGUGAUCAGCAUAUUAUAAAACAUAAGAAUAAGGAAUAAAGUAUAAUUCCCGGGCCUAGGGGUAAAAGUGUAAUUAUGCAAAAGUUUAGGGGCAAAAGUGUAUUUUUUUCAAAGUUUGUAUUAAAAGUUGUUUUGAUGAAUGUAUGUAUUAAAUAAGAUUAAUUUGGUAUUAUAGAUCAAGAGAAACGAGAUUCAAGUCGCGAUCGAAGAAAAGAAAAGAUUGUGGACUAAAUUGCAAAAUCUUUAUAUUUUGGUACCAAUGUAAGUUCAUGUGUAAAUAAUGUAGCAUAAUUAUUAUUUUUAAAUUAUUGAUGUUAAUUAUAUGAUACGCUGAUUUUUAAUCGUGAAAUAUUAUGCUUUGUGGUUAAUGUUGAGUAAUAUGCAAAUUAUGUUUACUACUUGAUAAAUAUGAAUUGCUACCGAGUAUUAAUUCUGAUAUUCCAUAGAAGACGACAAAUGUGAUAUCGAGGGAAAAAGCCCGUUUGAACCUUAGGAAUAGAUUAGGAUACAAGUGACAUGUCACUAGGAUGGUUGAGCAUCCGAACUCGCUGAGUUGAGUCCGAGUUCACUUAUGGAUGCGAAUGUCUGAACUCGUUGAGUUGAGUCCGAGUUCGUGAAAUGUAACUAGGAAUCCGAACUCGUUGAGUUGAGUCCGAGUUCACUUAUGGAUGCGAACGCCCGAACUUGUUGAGUUGAGUCCGAGUUCACUUAGGGGCGGGUUACAUGAUUUCUUGAUUACAUAUGAGGCACUUAUGUGCAAAUUAUCCGUGUAUCCGAGUUGUAUUCUGAUGUGUUCAACGGGUGAAAAUUUCUAGUGAAAUGGAAGAACACUUAAGAUGCAAGCGACGAUAUGGUAAGUGUUGUGAAAUGGACACUUUGGACAGGUAUGUUCUUAACCCUCGGGUUGAAAUUAGAUACAACAACGAUAAGGUGGUAAGAUGAUGAAUGGUGUUUAGAAAUGUGAUAUAUGUUUUGGUGAUACCAUGCUAAAGUUGUUUGGUAUAUUUGUAUUGUUAUGUUACUUGUUAUUUACAUAUGAACUUACUAAGCAUUUAUGCUUACUCCCUCCUCUUUAUUUACUGUAGUUUUGAACAAGCCAGCUCGGGAAUCAGGACGGGUCGAAGGUUCGAUCACACUAUCCAAAGGACUUUCAUCUGGGUAAAUGGCUUGUAAAACUUAAGUAUGGCAUGUAUAGCAAUAUAUUUAUUUUGUGUAAAUAAUUUUAUGAUAUAGCAAUGAUUGGUUGAGAAAAUGUUUGAUAUUGAUAAGUCAUGGUGAUGGUUAAAUUUAGAUCAUGUUUGAUAUCAUGGAAGUUUAAUAGGUUAUCUAGUUCAUAACAACUCAUGAAAAGAUGAAACUUGCCUUAAAACAGAAUAUUGCUGCAGCAAUGACAUGAAUUUGAAAAAUCACUAAAAAUAGUAUAAAUGGAAAUAAAUGAUGAGUAAGUUAUGAAAUUGAAUCUUAAUGAGUCUAUUUUCAUGUAGAUUGAACAAAACAGGCAUAUAAAUUAUAUUUUAUGAGAUAUUUAAACUUUUGCGAAACGAGGCCAGAGUGAUUUCUGGAUCCCCUAUUCUGAAUUUAGAAAUUCAUAAUAAAUUUUAAAAAAAAUAAUUAGAAGUUUUUAUUUAUAUUUACAGAUUCCUUAUUGAGUCUAGUUUUAAUAGAAACAAACCUCAUAUCAUUGAAAUUCUUUAUAGAGAGAUAUCUAAUUCGUAAUACACAGAGGUCAGAGCAGUCGAACCCUGAAACAGGGGAGACUUUAACUAAUAAAUUGUACUAAUUGGCCCAACCAAAAAUUCUAGAAAAAAAUUAAUAAAUAGAUAUAUGAGUCUAGAUUUAGGGAAAAUUUACGGAUCUUGAUUUCGAGUUUUGUAACUCAAGAUAUGAUUUUUCUUGUAACUGUGACGUGGGUAGCUAGAAAGCUGUGAAUGUAGAAACAAAUGAUUUGAAGUUCUUAAUUUGAUAAAUUAUGUUCGGUAACUCCUCAAGCUCGACUCCGGCGACGGUUUCGGGCGUGGGGGCGUUACAAAAAUCGUGGACCAUAAAAAUGCAAUAAAAAUAAAUUUUCUUAUGUCGAAUUUAUGGUCCCGAAACCACUGUUCAGACUAGGCCCAAAAAUCAAGAUGUUACAGUAUAAGUAGGAAUAGCUUAGAGGACGACCUUUAUGAAAACUUCCUUCUCGCCUUGAGAGAGGUGUCUAGUACUCCAAUUGUCAAUCCGCUUCUUAAUUCGAUCUUUUAAAAUCUGGAAUGUUUCCUUUUUUUCUUCUUCUAACCAUAUUUGGCAGUCCAAGAUAGCGUUCCAGGUCAUUUGAACUUCAUACCCUCAGAAUGUUUUCAACUGCUUGUUUAUCUUCCAUUACUGUAUUUUUGCUAAAAAAGACAGUAGAUUUUUCAAAGUUAACACAUUGGCCUGAACAGAUCUUGUAUUCCCUUAGAAUUCCCUUCAAUAGUGUGGCUUCUCUACUAGUCACCUCGCUAAAUAAUAUGCAGUUAUCUGCAAAUAACAAAUGUGAUAUCUGCGGACCUUGUCUGUUGAUUUUAACUCCUUUCAAUGAUCCUUCUCUAACUGCUAUCUGCAUUAAACAAGAAAGUUCUUCUCCAAAAAUAAGAAAAAGAAAUGGUCUUAAAGGAUCUCCUUGUCGAAGUCCCCUAGACGGUUGAAGCUUUUCUCCUAUUCACCCAUUAACCACCACUGUAUAAAACACUGAAGCCAGACAUUUCAUAAUAGUAUCUAUCCAAUUUAUCGUGAAACCCAUUCGAACCAUCAUUUCCUUAAUAAAAAUCCAUUCAACUCUGUCGUAUGCUUUACUUAUAUCUAACUUUACAGCCAUAAAACCUUUUUUCCCUAAUCUCUUUUGAUUUAGUGUAUGGAGAAUUUCAUAGGCUAGCAAAAUGUUAUCUGGAAUCAGCCUUCCUAGUACAAAAACGCUCUGAGCUACAUCAAUGCAUUUCUCAAUAACUCCUCUAAAUUGAUUUGCAAUAACUUUAACCACAAUUUUGUAAAUCACGUUGCACAAACUUAUAGGCCUAAAUUGCUUCAUAGUAGAAGGAUUGACAAUUUUUGGAAUGAGUACUAUAUGCGUUGCAUUUAUCUAUUCAACCUCCGUACCAUCAUUGAGAAUUUGUAGACAAAAUUCGACCUCACCAUCUCCAAUAAUAUGCCAGCACUUCUGGUAAAAAACAACCGGUAAUCCAUCUUCUCUUGGGACUUUUGUAGGACCCAUCUCAAACACCGUCAAGAUUGUAGGGUUGUCACUGUGGGGAUUGAUGAGUUUAACAAGUUCAUUGAUGAUUCCGAGUUAGUGGACUUACCUUUAAAGGGUAAAGCUUUUUCCUGGUUUGGACCCUAAAAUAGCAGGAGCUGGCUUGAUAGGUUUUUGGUGUCUUCGGAGUGGCUCUUGCAUUUUGCUUAUUUAACUUGAAGUGGGUUUAAAAGAUCUAUUUCAGACCAUGUUCCCAUUCUGCUCUCGCCGAAAGAUGUCGAUUGGGGUCCUAGGCCUUUCAAGGUCUUGAAUUAUUGGUUCUCGAGUAGUGACUGUAUGCGUAAACUUAAGGAGGUCUAUCAAAAUGCUCCCUGGCAUGGUGAUGUUGGGUAUUCAUUGUUAGUUAAAUUAAAGACCAAAAAAGCUUUUCUUAAAAGGUGGAAUAGGGAGGAGUUUGGUAAUAUUGAUACUAAAAUGGAGAAUCCAGAGAAAUUGGUGGAUGAAUUGGACACUUUGGGUAUCGCUAGAGAAUUAAACGUGACAGAGUUAGAUUUGAAGAGGAGGUUUCAAGCCGAGUUAUGGAAGGCGCUUCUUUAAACAGAGUCUAUUUGGUGACAAAAUCCAAAGCAUUAUGGCUUAAAGAAGGUGAAAGAAACACUCACUUUUCAACGUAUGGAAAAAAUAAAAAAAAAUAGUGGUUGUGGGCCUAUUCGUGAAUGACCAGUGGGUCUCAGCUCCAAAACUAAUAAGAGGAAGUGUCUUGGAGUUCUUAAAAAAAUAAUGGAAUUGUAAUGACCCGUAAGUUAGGGGUGUCGGAAAACAUGCUAUCGGAACUCCGUUUUCGUAGACCGAGCUCAUAAAAUAUUAUAUUAUUUAAAGUUUGGAGUUACAUUAGAAGUAAAAUUGGAUGAUAGUUAGAUAAUUUCAAUUAUUAGGGUUUAAAUUAAAGUAUGAGGACUUAUAUAUGAUAGAAGUAAUGGUUAAUAUUAAAUUACAUGGUGAAAUUAUAAUAAGGAGGGGGACUUAGUAAACAAAUAUACCAUUAUUGUUAUAAAUUGAGUUAGUGGAAAAUUAUUAUUGAAAUCACAUAUUAUAUGAUAAAUAUAUAUUAUUAGUUAUUUAAUAAGUUGUGUUUAAAUAAAAAUAAAGAAAUGAUAAAAUAUAUAGAGAAACAAAUAGAUUAGUGGGCGAAAAAGAAAAAAACAAUUUCUCUUUCUUCUUUUCUAUUUUUAAAAGCUCAAUUGGUUGGUAUUCUUUGAUCAUUUUAGUAUAAAUUUGGUAUUUUUGGAAUAAUAAGAUCUUGAAUUAAUUUAACCAUGUUGGAAAUUUUAAAUUUAGUGAAGUUUAUGUAAGUUGUCAUUGUAGAGAAUUUGAGUUCUUAGUGUUAUUACAUCAAAUAUUAAGUUUAGUAAAUAAAUAGAAAUAUUUGCUAAAUGAUUCUUGAUGAUAUUAGGAUUCAAGGAUUAAAUUAUGAGAAUAAUAGGUUUAAGGAUUAAAUUGUAAUUUAAUUGAAAGUAUGAGUUGUUCUUGGCCCUAUGGAAAAAUUGGUUGAUAAGAGACCUUCUUAAUUUUAAUUAAUAACAUGUUUUAGAAUUGAUGAGUAAAUUGAAUUGAACAUUUAUGUUGAAUGAGAAAAUGUGAAAUGUGGUUAAAAGAUUAAUGGUUUGAGUAAAUGUCUCUUGGUGAUUAUUAAUUAAAUUAAUUAUGUGAUUAAUUUUUUAUCGAGAAACAAAAAGAUCGAUUGGUAAUCACAGAAAAAGAAGGUUGUCGAGUAACCGUUCUCGACCUUAAUAGCCAUCACAAUUCUAUAAGUUCGUAGUCUCAAACUUAAUCUUUUUAUUAAUAAUUUAUUUAAUUGAUAAUUACAUAUUAUUUAAAUACAUGAUUACAAUCUUAUGUUCAUAUUUGAAUGAUGAUUUCAAUUAAUGAAUGAGGAAAUUUGUGAAAAUAAAUAACUUUUUAUUCGUCAGUUUAUUCGACUAGCGUUGGCGCAAAUAUUGUUGGUAUAUCCAACUAGAGCUGGGCACAAAUAAUGUUGUUAUAUCCAGCUAGAGCUAGGCUUACUAAUUAUUUGUCGGUUUAUCUGGCUAACGCUAGGCGCAACUUCCGUCAAUUUAUUUGACUAGUGCUAGGCACACAUUUGUUGGUUUAUCCGACUAGCGUUGGGCACAAACUCUUUCAUGGUUUAUUCGUUAGGCACUAGGUGUCAUGUAUCAAUUGGACUAUAUAACAAGGUUAUAUGAACCAUUGAAAAAGGUUGGUUAUAGAUAUUACUAAGGAAGAAUUAUAUUUACUUAUGUAUAUAUGUAUUCAUUGGAAGAUAUGAUAUAUUUCUUGAAUUAGAUCAUUAAAGUUGUGAGGUUAAUUUAAAUGCUUUAGAUAUAUUUGUGGUUAUUCAAAUAAGUGAAAUCAAAUUAAUAUGGAUCGGUUCCCAUGUUUAUAGGUUAGGUAAAUAGUAGACUCGAACUUAGUAUCCUACAAGAAUCCCAUACUCAACAUCAGUGAUGUUCUUUUUUGUGUUUUUGGCAUGUAUCUAGGGUGUAUUAGUGAAUUAAAAUCUUUUGAUUCUAGAUAGUUUGUAAGGGAUGUUUUGUAGUGGUAUGUUGUGAAUAUGUUAAUCGUGUUUUGGUAUCUAUAUGUUUUGAAGUUUGUAUUUGGUUUGGUGAACCAUAACACCUCACUAAGUUAUGUCAUUUUGGUACUUUAAAAUGCUUGUAAAUAAAAUACUCUUGGUAUGUUGAUGAUAGUUUGGAAAUGGUUAUUUAUGGCAUAUUUGGCACAUAAUUGAAUUAGGUUACCAUGCAUGAAAUAAGGCAAUAUUGGCAUGUUUUGAUGGUUGAAGUUUUGGUACAAUUGUGGUGCCUUUAAAUGACAUAUUGGCUAGGUGAAUUAGGUUGUUUGAAAUGGCAUGUUUAUGUAUGUUUGUAUGAUAUUUGAACCCCUUGAAGAUGUAACCAAAUUGUAUGAAUGGUUAAGUAGGAUUUGGUUUUGGAGUGGCUUGAUUCUAGGUAAAUUUUGGGUUCACACGGGCUAUCACAUAGUCGUGUGAGGCACACGGCCUAGCAACACAGUCAUGUGUCAUCUGAGAAUUUUCUUAAGGUUCAAGUCAGUGAGUUACACGGCUAAGCAUACAGACGUGUGAGGCAACUAAGAGAGUUACACGGCCUGGCACACGACCCUACUCAAUGAGUUACACGGGUGAGGACAAGGCUAUAUGUCCCUUAUUUGAAAGUUACACGGCCUGGGGCUAUGUCAUAAGGCCUCGCCACACGACCGUGUGACUCUUGUUUUUUAAUUUUUGCAUCUUUUUCUUAAACUUUCUACUUUGUUUCAAAUUAGUCCCGAACUGCUUCUAUGAUAUUUUUAAGGCCUCGAAGGCUCGAUUUAGGGACAAAGUGCAUAUGAUUGGACGAAUUAUGAUAUGUUUAAUCUAUUUGAAUAUUAUAAUGUUAAAUGUUUCCAAUUGUAUGAUAAUGCUCCAUAACCUUAAUUUGGGAACGGAGAUAGGUUAGGGGUGUUACAGGAAUGUUGUGGAAUGAGUUGGUUUUUAGGAACUAAUCUAGUUUUGAAAAUAUUUCUAUGGAGGAAGCUAGAUAUUUGGAGAGACCAUGUUCCUUGGAUGAAAUCAAAGCUACCAUUCGGGAUUUGGAUUGAUCCAAAUCUCCGGGGCCUCAUGGUUUUACCUUACAAUUUUAUGGUUAAAGUUUGGACUUCAUCAAAGUGGAGGUGUUGGAGACAAUGGUUGAGUUUUUUUACUAAUGCGAAACUUUCAAAAGGGUGCAAUACAUCCUUUACAACACUUGUUCCUAUGGUUGGAAGCCCCCAAUCUAUCAAGGACUUUCAACCCAUUAGCUUAUUUGGGACUGUUUACAAGAUUGCAAGUAAGGUGCUGACUACCAUAUUGAGGGAGGUAAUCAGUAAACUGAUUAGUGAUGAACAAUGUGUGUUCGUGGUAGACAAACAAAUCAUUGAUGGUAUUCUAUUAGCAAACGAAGUAAUUCAUUUCCUACAGAGUAAAGAAGGGGACAGUAUGUUGAAAAUUGAGUUCGAGAAAGCAUAUAAUUUUGUUAAAUAGGAUUUUUUGCUUCAUCUUCUUGAAUGUAUAGGUUUUGGUGCAAAAUGUUGAGGUUGGAUAAUGGAGUGUCUAUCAAUGGAAAAUUUUCUAUUUUUUUGAAUGGUUCCCCAAUAAAACAAUUUCGUGUGAAGAGAAGACUAAGCCAAGGUGAUCCUAUUUUGCCUUUUCUAUUUAUUAUUAUCACUAAAGCCCUUUUAUAUGAUGCUGAUGGAAAAAGAGAAUAAAUUAGCCUAAUAUGCCAUUUUUGUUUUUUAAUUGACAUAUUAGGCCAUUUUUUUGAAAUUUAAGGAAAUAGGUCAAUUUUGGAGAGAGUGUGUGAAGCGUGUCCAGUUGGGCACACUUUUACACUCUCUCUCCUCGAUCUCCUUUUUUUAGGGUAAUGUUUAGGGUUUUUGGUUAAGAAUUACAGUUUAGUGUAUAGGGUUUUAGGAGUGAAACUGUGAAACUUUAUAGUUAGAUUUGAAGGGUCGAGGAUGUGAUAGUGUGUAUCAAAACACAUACAUUUAAUAUGGCAUGUCGGGGUAGGACCACCACAUUAGAAACCCAUCUUAUGAAAGUCAGGUUUUAAGGUGGCAGUGCUUGAUAUGGUCACGAGUCGAAGUCUAAGUAGAGAUCCAAAUCGACGGUUGUGAUGCGGUCACUGGUUCGAGUAUAACUGAGGGCAAGUUGACGGUUGUUACGCGGUAAUGAGUUCAAGCUUUUUGGAUACCUUCAAAUGAUGCCUUAUAUAUACCAUACAUAAAAUUGAGGCCAAAAUCAUAGGGAAAAAUGAAAGGCUUUCCAAAGUAAUCAAUGUAAUUUUUUUCUCUAUUUCCAGGUAGCAAGUAUCUUUAAUCUUUCAUUCUUAUCAAAAGACUGACACCGAGGAUAACAUAAGAGGGCUCUCAAGUGGAGAGUAGAUGUUUUGGCAUAGUAAAGGUCAAACUAGAGUCGAUGCAGAAUCAUUUUUAGUUAUUAAUGAGUUGUUUAAUAAUGACAAAUGUUGUCGCCCCAAAAGGAACAUCACCUUUAUUACACCGCAACAGUCGCUACCUACAUGUUCUAUGUCCAGGUGAUGCCGGCCUUUGGAUAAGAAGGAAGAUUAAAGAUAUCGGUUGCGUAGAGAUGGAGUAAAAAAUUAUACCGAUUAUAGUGAGAAGCCCCAUAAUUUUUUUGUAUAAUUAUUGUAACGAAUUGUAACAUGUUUACACAAGUGUACGUAGUCGUGCAAGUAAUAAGUAAGUAAAAAUAAGUUAUCGUCUCAACAAGGACUGUAUAAGCUUAACCAAUUAAUUGCAAAAUUAUAAAUAACUAUUUGAUGUAAAAACUCAAUAAUUUUGGAUGAUGAUUAAAUUAGUUAUAUUAAUUAGAUACAAUUUACCUAAAUGAAUGAAUGAAUAGCUUUAGCAACAAACAAUCAACAUUAAAUAGGCUAGGAUAAUUAUAUUAAUCAAAUCAACUUACUUUAAUCAUGCUAAUGUGUUCAGAAUUACUUCCAUGGCAACUCUAUCUCUUAUGUGUUUGAAAACCAAAUUAAGUCCUCUCAGAUUUUUUACUUAGUUAAAUAUGCAUGUUAGUAAUUAUAUUAAACUAAGGGUUUCUUAGAAUUUAUCCAAGGUCACAGGAGCAUUUACGUUUGCUUCAGUUUAAUUACAUAAACCUAAAAACUAUGCAAGGCAAUAGAGCUAACUAAAGAUAUUACGAACCUUAACUUAGUCGGUUUUAAUGACCUAAAUUAAGUAUUGCACUUUUCAAUUAUGCGUCUACUAGCCGUCGUUUGGUUAGGAUUGCUCAACUAAUCUGAGUGCACCAAAUCAUGUAUGAAUGAAAUGCAUCAUGAUAUUAAUUGAAAACAUAAUUGAUUGAGGCACAAAACAUGUUAACAUGAAUUACAUAAAUCUCAUUAAAUUAAUAUAAUCAUUCUAGCAGAUAGGAAUUAAAAAUUCAUAGUUGAUGUCAAAAACAUCAAACACAAAGCAAACAUGUUUAAAAUAAAUGACAAGAGGAAAGAGUUUGCUCAGUUCAACAACCUUUUGAAUCUAUUCUGACUGAUUUGCUCAACUCUGUUCAGUUUAGCAGCCUUUCGAAUCUAUUCUGACUGAAGCGCUCCAUUCUAAUUGAAGCUUCUUCUGCAAAGGGUUUAGAAGGUAGCUGGCUAAAGAGUAAUUUUGAAAAAAACUUUUGAGGCUAAAGAAGGAAGAGGAUAUGGACGGCUAUGGAAAAAAGGGAAAAGGAAUUGAGAGAAAACUAUUGAGAGUGAGAGAACAAUGUUGAGUGAUAAGAGAUGAUGGAAAAGUGAAGAAUGGCAAGGUAUUUAUAGGUGAAGGUAAAGGGUUGAGUUUCUAAAAAUAGGUUUAAAUUUCCUUCAUUCCCUCUCUCAUGAUGCCAACCAUGCUUCAAGGAAAGGGAUGACCAAGUCUUCUCAAUUUGAAUUCGAAUUUCAAGCUAAAAAUAGCUAUAGAGUGGACAGUUUCAACAGGGAAGUUGUUGGGCUGAAUUCGGAUUAUUUUCCAACUGCAAGGACUUUCCAUUAAAUAUCCCAAAACACAUUUUGGGCAGCCAACAUCAAGUGUCAAAAUUGGGCUUUUCAUUCUCCUUGUUGGACGGUUUUUUCAAUCCAAUAACUUAGCAGACAUGUCCAUCUUUUAUCACCUUCUUUGCCGUGUCAAGUAGUCAACCCUAUGCCCGAAAUUGCAUGGUCUUGCCAUCCACAUGGAUAAUUUGUACAUGACCAUCUUUUAUUUAUUUAAAUCGUCUCCAAUAGCCUACUUACAUAGUGAAAAAUACAUACAUUAAUAAAUUAACAUGAAUUAAUAUAAAAUAUGCAUGAAAAUCAUGUAAUUAAGAAUAAUUUCACAUACUUUCCAAAUUCAUGUCUAAAAUUACUUAACUCACUUAUUUCAAUAAUAAUUACUUGAGAUAAACAUAAUAAUUAAGUAAAAAGAUGGUAAAAAUAUAUAGAAAAACCUUAUAAAUUUUGAGUUUACACACCCCCAAAACUUAAAUCAUUGCUCGUCUUGAGUAAUGUUCAUGCAUAGCACAAUUUUUUCUAAGGCAAUUUUGCAAAAUCAUAAGGCAGCAUCAAUCUUAGUACAUAAUCAUGCAUCAACAAAAUCAUGCUCAAAAAUACUUUUUUAUUGAUAAAUAGCUCAAAUGCAAAUAUUAUUUCUAACUUUAUACUAAGUACAUCAUAAUAUCAACAUGAAUCAUAGUUUGCAUGCAUUUUCAAAGUCAUACAUAACAUUCACCAAUCAAUAUGCUUCCCUUAUCAACUAAACAUAGCAAUCUCAAGGUUUAAUUAGUGUCUUCAUAUGUUGAACUUAGUAAUCCAUCUCCACUAAUGUAGUCGGUAUAAUCAUCUAAUCAAUAGGUCUUUUAUUAAGUUGUAAUGGGCUAGGCUAAAGGUAAGGAUAAAGAGAAGUGAAUUUUAGGUUCAAAACAUCUUAACACAAAUUUUCUCUUGGAUCCUUUUCGUGUAACAACUCUCAUACAAAUAGGUCUUUGGAGUAACCCCAAACUUAUUUCAAACUUAUGCUCCACUUUUAUUUUUCUCGAACUUUGAGCAAACUUUGCUCUUUAUUUUUGAGACUUUGAGCACUCCUUUAUUUGCUCUUAUUUUUCUGCAUUUGAGCAAACUUUUCUUUGCUUUUUAUUCUUCAAACUUACAUUCAUCUAUUUUUUUUAAAUAAUGUGAAGAGCAUGUACAUCUUUUUGUAAUUUUCCUCAAACUUUAAUCACCAAGACAAAUUUUUGGUUAAGAUAGCUGCAAAAGAAUAGGAUAAAAAUACAAAAGAUAUUAAUGUGGCUUAUAGUGUAGGUAAUUUGCAAUGAACAAGCCGUUAAGCUCAAAAUUAAGUUUCAAGAGUUAAAUUUCAUAAGGUCGGCUUGAAAGGCUCAAACAAUCCAAAAAAGUGUGUUUAUAUCAUAUUAGAGUCUUAUACCUCCUAGGACUUCACCUCAAGAAAGUUACUAAGUCAAUUUUAAAGACUUAAACCUUCAUACAUGUCUAUUUCUAAAGAAAUCAAAUUUUCAUGGAAAAUCCUACAUAAGACUAAGAUCAUACAAGCAUUUCAUUACUCAAGAUAACAUAUGAAUAACUUAGAUAAAAUAAAAAAAUCAUGCUUGCAUUUGAACAUACUUAUGAACAAAAAUUCUUUCUGGAACAUUCAUUCAUUUUAGCAUACUUAAGAAAAAAGAUUGAAACAUACUUCAAAAUUUAUGCGAAAUACCUUAUUAAAAAUUCAUGCGAAAUGCCUUACCCCAUUUAAAAAGAAGCAAUGUCCUUAUUGCAAAAAUAAAAUAAUGAAUGAAAACUAAACGCCAGGUAGGGUUGCAAGAAAAGAGAGGUGAGUCAUAAAGACUGCUUAAAUACCAAGUCUUUCACACAAUCCAAUCCUAGACAUCCCAUUACCAUGUCAUUUUAUUUUCUUUCUAUUAAAGAGGCAUUGAGCUUAUUUUAUUCAUGCUUUCUAUUUUAUUAUAUGAAAGCAAAAUACUAACUAAGAAAUAAAAAAAACACCUAAAAAGAAAUAAAAACUAAGGGAAAAUAACUUGCCCUUUUUUUAUUUAUUUCACUUAUCCUACUUAUCUUUCUCUUUUGAUGUUUCAUCCUCGCUUGCAUUCUCAUCUUCCUUCCAUGAUUCGAAGAUAUAAUCUAAGAACUCAGGAAUAAAAUUGUUAGAGAUAUUUUUAAAAAUAUUUCUUACGUAAUCAUCUCUAACUUUUGCAUAUUUCUAAUAAGCCUGUUGUUGGUUAUGCAUAAGUUUAUCAUAUCCAUCAUAAUUGACCACUUCAAUUUCUUCACAAUGUUUGAAGAAGUGGGCAUUGGAUUAGUCAACUCCAGAUCAAUACCUGGUUCAAAUGGCUCAUCAGUAUUCGACUCUUCUCUUGGUUUAGAGACUUCUGGUUCCUUUAUUAGUUCAGGCUCAUUCGGUUCUUCCUCCAAUUUUGCUUCUUCUAUCUCAUCAACUGAGUCAGCUUCUAUUUUGGAUUUGUACAAUGACUCACCAGUUUCUGGUUCUCUUGGUUCAUUCAGUUCAGAUGGGUUUAGUUCAUGGACAUUCUCCCCUAAUCUUUCAAGGAUGUAAUGCAACCUUGAACAUCCGGGGCCCUUUAGGUUUGCUUUUGUCUUGACUUGGGCCCUUAAGCAAAGUGAAGUUAUCAAUUAUGAAAAAUAAACACUUUCGAUCUUUUUUCUAGCACAAUCAUGGGGCUCUUUAAGAAUAAUCUUCCCAACAUUGAUGGACCUUUCUGUCAUAAUUACAUACAAUAAAAGUAUUCACUCCAUCGAGAUAGUGGAAUUGUGUGAGAUAGACAUGAAACUAUAACGAACAAAGUAAAACCAUACCUUAACGAACAGCUUUAAGUAUUCCCUUCGGCAAUAAUGACUACCAUACUUUCUUAUAGUCCAUUGGGAUCCCAGAUUUAUCACAACAUUAAGUAUUUGUUGAAGAAAAUCCCAAUUUAUGUUUGUCAUCAUGAAAAAGUACUCAUCUUCUUCAACAUUAAGUAGGUUAAACAAAUCAUUAAUGGAUUUAGAAGUUAGGGGUACAUUCUUCUUGUGAAUAAGAACUUUAGUAGCAUCUGGCUUAGUCAAAUUGACAUAGAACUCUCGAACUAACUCCUCAUCGGGUCAUGAUCGUGUAUCGCAAAAAUAAUUCCAAUUGAGGGCAUCAAUCGUCUUCUGAACUAGCAAAGGCACAACCAUCUUAUCAUUGCUUUUCAAGUUGAAACCUUUUUUUUCUGGCAUCAUAGGUUGAUUCUUAAAGAUUGAAUGAAACUUUUCUUUCACUUCUUCAUCUUGAAUCACAAUGUGAUUUUCAGCAGAGGUUUUAGAAGAUCUAGUUCUUUUGCGCAAUGUAGACUUUUUUCCCGAAAAAUAAGUAAUAUUUUGGCAAAAGAAUUGAAAAAGCAAUCGUCAAAGGAUGAGAGCAAGGUGUUGUAGUGACGAUCAAUUUGCAGCAGGAACGAGCUUGCAGUGGCAUAAAGCUUAUGAUGGCGAUAGAAUGCGACGGUGAUAAGGAUACAACGACAAAAGGGCUACUCUGGCAAAACUAUUGUGGUGGCAAUACUAGGAGCUUGUGACAAGGAAGAAAAUUUUUGGAGAAAUUUUAGGAUUUAGGCCAAGGCUAAGAGGAAAAAGAAUGAGUGGUUUAGGGUUUAGCUAAUAGCUUGAAGGGUUGUGAAAAUUAUGAAGGUAGAGAGAGGUUUAUAUAAUGAUGAAUUAGGGUAAUUUUAUAGCUAAAAUUUAGCUAAUUUAAGUGACUUGGAUGGAAAGUAUAGAUGAAAAAGUGGUGGUAAAAAUUAGGGUUUUGGGGAACCCUAUGGACAGCAACAAUGGGUAAAUUUCACCUCUUUGCUAUUCAAGCCUUAAGCCUAAUUAUAUUUACAAACUAGACUGCUUAGAAAUAAAUAAACUAAUUGGUGUUUGGGCAAUUUGACCACAUUUAUUAAACAUAAAUAAAAUAAAGAUUAAAAUUAAAAUUAAAUACAAAGAAAAAAAUGAAAACUAAAAAUAAAAAUAAACAUUUUAAAAUUAAUUAGAAAUUUUCUUCUCAAAGAAUUACAAUGAAUUAAUUCUCAUGAAAGGUUGAAGGGGUCACAACGGUCUCGCUUAAGUUCCAAUCUCCUUAGAUAGAAUUAAUUAAAUGUACUAAUUUAAGAAAAUAAUUUCUAUUUUUUUUAUUAAAAAGUAGGUUUAUGAAAAAAUAAAGGUCUCUUAAUUUGAACGAGGUUUUAAUUCCCUCAAUUUUACCAUCCCAAUAGUGCUUUAAAUGUUGACCAUUAACUUUAAACGUACCUCUAUGAUUGUCGUACAAUUCUAUAGCUCCAUAUGGAUAAACUUUGUGGAUGGAAGAAGGUCCUUUACAUCAGCGCUUGAGCUUUCCAGGAAAUAACCUUAGCCUUGAAUUAAACAACAACACUUUCUGUCCUUCUUUGAACUUACGAGGUUGAAUACGAUUAUCAUGCCAUCUCUUAUAUUUUUCCUUACACAUCUUGGCAUUCUCAUAUGAAAAUAACCUCAACUCCUCCAACUCAUCGAGUUAUAAUAUCCUUCUCUCACUAGCUUGCUUAAGAUCAAAAUUCAAUUGCUUCAAAGCCCAGUGAGCUUUAUUCUCCAAUUCAAGCGGCAAAUGACAUGCCUUUCCAAAAACUAAUUGAUAGGGAGUCAUCCCUAAUGCUGUCUUAAAAGCAUUUUGAUAAGCCCAUAAUACAUUGUUGAGUCUUCGAGACCAAUAAAUUAUGCUAGGGUUCACUACUCUUUCAAGUACACCUUUGAUUUCUAGAUUCACCCUUUAAACUUUCCCAUUCGAUUGUGGGUGAUAGGCAGUAGCAAUCUUAUGUUUUACAUCGUACUUGUCAAGCAACCACUUAAGCCACCUAUUCACAAAGUGAGAUCCUUCAUCGCUAAUUAUAGCUCUAGAAGUCCCAAACUGUGUAAAUACAUGCUUAUGUAGGAAUCACAUGACUACCUUAGCGUCAUUAGUUGGGUAUGCCUCAGCUUCAACCCACUUGGACACAUAGUCCACAGCUACCAAUAUAAACUUAUUACCAUAUAGAAAAGGAAACGAUCCUAGGAAAUUAAUGCCCCAUACAUUGAAAAGUUCUAUCUCUAAAAUAUUUGUCAAGGACAUCUCGUUCCUUCUUGAUAUGUUUAUGGUUCUUUGGCAUCUAUCACAGUUCCUCACAUAUGCAUAAGCAUCCUUGAACAAUGUAGGCCAAAAGAACUCAACUUGUAAAAUCUUUGCUGCUAUUCGUGAACAACCAAAGUGUCCCCCACUCAGAAAUGAAUGAAAGUGGUUCAAAAUUUUGUCAAUCUCACUCCCAGCUAUGCACAUCCCGAUUUUAUUAUUUGCACAUUGUUUAAACAAAAACGGGUCCUCCAAAAAAUAGUACUGACUAUGAUGAAGGAAUUUCUUCCUUUGUUGGAUGUCAUUUCUCGAGGAAUUAUUCCACUUGCUAAGCAAUUGGCAGAAUCAGCAAACCAAGGUGUUUUAUAAAUUUGACUUACCUUGAAAAUAUGCUCAUUAGGGAAAUUCUCAUUAAUUGGAAUAAAUGAAGAAGUUACCUCAUUUUGUUCUAACCUUGACAAAUGAUUGGCUACAUCAGCUACUUGAUUUUUUGUUCUAACCUUGACAAAUGAUUGGCUACAUCAGCUACUUGAUUUUCAACACCUUUUCUGUCUUGGAUCUCAAGGUUAAAUUAUUUAAGCAAAAGUAUCCAUCGAAUUAGCCUCAAUUUAGCAUCUUUUUCGUGAGUUAGUACUUAAUGGCAGCGUGAUCAGUAAACACUGUAACUUAGGUAUCUAUAAGAUUUGAAUGGAACUUGUCAAAAGCAAAAACUAUAGCAAAGAGUUCUUUUUCAGUUAUUGUAUAAUAGAUCUGGGCUCCUAUCAAAGUUCUACUUACAUAGUAGAUAGGGCAAAACACGUUGUUCCUUCUUUAGCCCAUUACAGCUCCAACAGCAAAAUCGCUUGCGUCACACAUAAACUCAAAACGCAUGUUCCAAUCAGGUGUGAUAAUUAUUAGGGUUAAAAUUAACCAGCUUUUUAAAUUCUUCAAAAGCUUCUAAACAUGCUUUGUUAAAAUUAAAAAAAACAUCUUUUCUAAAAGCAUACAUAAAUGUUUAGAAAUUUUUGAAAAAUCCUUUAUAAGUCUACGAUAAAAAUCAGCAUGGCGUAAAAAGCUUCCAACUCAUUUCACACUUACUGGAUGUGGUAAUCUUUCAAUUACAUCCACCUUUUCUUUAUUCACUUCAAUUCUAUUCUUGGAAAUUUUAUGCCCUCAGACAAUUCCUUCAUUAAUCAUAAAAUGGCACUUCUCCCAAUUAAGGAUGAGAUUAGUCUCCUCACAUAUUUUGAGUACCUUAGCUAAAUUAUUCAACCAAAUAUAGUAAGUAUUACCAUAAAUAGAGAAAUCAUACAUGAAAACCUCAACGUAAUUUUGAACCAUAUCAGUAAAAAUUGCCAUCAUACACCACUAAAAUGUGGCAAGUGCAUGAAAUAAGCCAAAAGGCAUUUUCCUAAAAGCAAAUGUACCAUAAGGACAAGUAAAAGUAGUUUUAUUUUAAUCUUUCGGGGCUACGACUAUUUGGUUGUAUCCCGAAUAUCCAUCUAAAAAGUAAUAAAAUUCUUUACCUGCCAGUUGAUCUAACAUUUGAUCCAUAAAAGGUAAAGAAAAAUGAUCCUUACAAGUAGCUUUGUUCAGUUUUUUAUAGUCAAUACAGAUUCUCCAACCCGUGACAGUUCUCUUCGGGGUUAACUCAUUUCACUCAUUUUCGACGAUCAUGAUUCCACCUUUCUUUGGUACACAUUGCAUCGAACUUACCCAAAAACUAUUUGAGAUGGGGUAAAUAAUUUCCGCAUCUAACCACUUAAUUACCUCCUUUCGAAUCACUUCUUUCAUGAUAGGGUUAAAUCUCCUUUGCUCAUCAAUCUUACCUUUUUACCUUCCCCUAAAACAAUUUUAUGCAUACAAAAGGAAGGACUUAUACCUCAUAUAUCAGCUAUUGUCCAAGCAAAUUCUUUUUUUUUUAAUUUCUUUAAAACAACAAUCAAUUACUCGUGUAAUAUCUUGAAUUAGGGCCCAGUCAGAACAGUGUUUCGAGACCACAGAUACGAAGUAAAAAUAAUUAUUUUAUGAUUAUUUUAUUCUCCAUGAUAUGAUUGCAUGUUUGUGUGAAAUUUUCAUGAAGAAACUUUAUGCCUAAAGUGUCUAAUUUGAAGUUAGGGACAAAAUUGAAUAAGUUGCAAAACUUGAGUUCUAGAAGCUUUAAGCAUGAAAUUUCCAUGGAUUACUAAUUAGAGGUCCUUAAAUAGUAAUUUGCCCAAUUUUUACUUUUAUGGACAAAAAUGGGCAUGAAUAGGAAAAUUUUGAAAGAAAUGCCUUAAGGACAUUUUUGUCAUUUGGUUAAUAAAAGAAUACAAAGGGAAAAAUAAGUCAAAAUUGUGUUCAUCUUCUUCAUGUUUGUGCCAAAAAUUCGAAGAGCCAUAGCUAGGGUUUUUCUUCAACUUUCAAGCUCGACUAUAAGUGCUCCUUAGCUCCGUUUUUAAUGUUCUUUACAUUUUUGAGAUCCUUGAAGCAUGAUCUAGCUAUUUCUACCAUUAUUUUAAGCUAGGGUUCAUGUUCAAAAACUUACCCAUAUGUGACAUGCAUGUAUUUUGAUGUUUAAUGGAGGAAUAUGAAAGUUUGAUGUAUGAUAAACAUAUUUUACUAAGUGAUUUUUCAUGAAAAUACCUAACAACAACCUUUUUGUAAAAGUUGUAAAAAUGAAUAAUAAAAAUCUGAUUUGAAGGAAAAUGUGGGUUUUUAUGAGCAUGUGUUAGAUUCGGCUAGGCUUGGGUAACAAAGAAAAUGGACACAUUUCAUUUUACGAGCUAGAGACUAAUUUGUAAAUAUGUGAAAGUUUAGGGGUAAAAUCAUAAUUUUUCCAAAAUAUAGUUUUUGGACUGAUUCGAAUAAUGUGAUGAUUAAAUGAGUUGAAUUUGCUAUUAUAGAUCAAGAAAAAUGGAGCCCGAACCUAGAUUGGGGAAAGAACAAGAUUUUGGACUAAAUCAAAUUAAUUGUCCAUAUUUUAUACCGAGGUAAGUUCAUGUGUAAAUAAUGUAAUGAUAUGUCAUGUUUUAAUAUUUUAUUUAUGUAUGAGUCUCUAUGUUUAAUUAUUAUGACAAGUGAAUGAACGACAUUAUUGUUGAUGAGCAUGACAUUGUGAACGAGUUCGACGAAUAUGUGAUAUCGAGAAAAUCCUGUUUGAACCUUAGGAAUAAUUUAGGAUACAAUGUGACAUGUCACUAGGAACUACAUGUGUUGAGCUAAUAAGAUAUGUGAUAUGUGUCUAUGUGAAUCUGGGUGCUAGUCUUGUACGUUCUAUCGGUGGCUAGGUAGCCUGGCAUGUGUUGCAGGUACCUGUCAGCUUGUGUGAGCAGUCCGAGUAGUUAUAUCCUGACUGUCAGCUUGAGUGAGCAAGCCCAUGAUUAGCUCGAGAGAGAGCAAUGUGUGAUUUGUGAUAUAAGGUAGCCUGUUGCUAUGUUUGAAGCACUAUGUGCAAGGCUUCCGUGUAUCCGAUAGUAUUCCGAGUGUUCAAUGGGUAAAUCAGUGAGUUAUUCGACAAGUAAGUCAUUGAUGAGGAAAUAUUAGAAUGUAUUACAAGUUGGUACAGGUAUGUAUGAAAAACUCUUAUGAAUGAACUCAGAAUGUGAUGAUCUUUUGGUAAGAUCGAAAAUGUGUAAGUUAUGCCUAUGAAUUUAUGAUGACAUAUAUAUAAACUAUGUUAUGUUAGUGGUAUAUAUUUAUUCAUGAUUAUGUUGCUAUUUAUUUGCAUGUGAACUUACUAAGCUUUAUGCUUACUCCCCUCUCUUUCCCAUUUUUUUAUAGUAUCGCCAAGCUAGCUCAGGGAUCGAAGGAUGUCAGAGACUCGAUCACACAUCAAUUGGAUAUUUGGAUAUAGUUAGUUUCAACAUUUUGAGUAUAGCAUGUAUAGGGACUUGGUCUUUUGGUUAUAAGUCAUAUUGGGUUAGCCAAAUGUGUUGGCUUACAAUGAUUUGAUGAUUCAUUUUGUAUAUCGCCAUGAGAUAUGACUCAUAUUAAUUAUGGGGAUGUAAUCCUAUUGAUAUAUAUAUGCUUGUGCUAAGGUCAUUCAUGAUGUGGUUAAAUUCAUUUUGGCAUGGAUGAAUUGUGGAUAUGAUCAUAGAUGUUUGAUAAUGGAAUUGUAAGCAACGGGUUAAUAAAAACUAAGGUAAGAAUAUGUAAAAUGGAAGUAAAUUGAUGUUAUGUAUAUUGCAUGUGAUUUGGUAAGCUUAGCUUAAAUAAAGUAUGGAGUCUUAACAAGUACUAAUUGAUAAGAAGUUUAUAUGCAUGAGCCAUGGUUGUGAAUGUGUAAGUUCUCAUUUAUGCCAUUAAGUUGUCACUGAGAUGUAUAAGUGUGAAUGUGAUAUUAUGGGUGACAAAAGGCUUGGAAAGUAGCCUCGAAGUUGUACACACGGGAGUGUGUCUAGGCUGUGUGUGACACACAGUUAGCCCUAUGGGCAUGUGUUCCGUCCGUGUGUCCCCUGCACCCUAAUUAAUGCAAAACAGAAUGCCCAGUAGUAAACACACGGGCAGAGACACGGCUAUGUGUCUCAUUCGUAUGAAGGACACGACCUCGAGACAUAGGCGUGUGCCCAGGCCGUGUGAAGUCUACACUUAAUUUUUAGAAUUUAAUUCGUCACACGGCCUAAGCACACAGCCGUGUGACAUGGCCGUGUGACCCUAAUUGUGUUGAUGACAUCAUAAAUAGAGAGUUACACAGGCUGAGGACACGGACGUGUGUGACCACAUGGCCUAUCCACAGGGGCGUGUGACUCUCCAAAACAAGAAAUUUUUCUAAGUGCCACAAAAGUUCUGAAAGUUCUCAGUUUAGUCCUGAUUCGUUCUCAAUGUAUGUUUUGGGCCUUGUGGGUUCAUUUUAGGGACGAUAUGAAUGUAUGUGAAUAUUUUUAAUUUGGACGAAAAUUUUAUGCUCGAUUUUGUAUGUUUGCUUGUGUUUAAGUCUGAUAACACCUCGAACCUUGUCCCGGUGUCAAAUACAAGUAAUGGGUGUUACAGCUCGUCUUGAUAUCACAGGAAAAGUAGAACUAUUACUGAGAUAAAUGUAUUUUAAGUGAGACAAAAGCACUUUUAGUUCAAGUUUAGGCGGUUCCUCAAUUGACAACUUGGGUUGUGUAAAUUCUCAAAUUUCCAUCUCUAGCAGUUCAAACCCUAGUGGUUGAAUAUUACUCCUCAAAUUGGCUUCCAUCAAAGUCAAACCUUGAUUACCUUUUUUAUCUUCGAAUGUUUCAGAUUCUAAAGCGUUCUCUAACGGGUCUUCUUUAGAAUUGCUUUCUAUGGAAGCUAAGGUUUAUAAUUCUUCCAUCAUUGAACACUCUUCCAUUGAAUCGAGAAAUUUCAUUGCCUUUAGAAUGUUAAACGUUACCUUAUCAUCUUGAACUCACAUCGCGAGUUUGCCUUUUUGCACAUCUAUCAAUGUUCUUCUUGUGGCUAGGAAAGGUUUCCCUAGAAUGAUCGAAACUUCUUUGUCUGCUUUAAAAUCCAGAACAAUGACAUCAGAAUGAAAAAUAAAUUUAUUUAUUCUUACCAAACAUCCUUGAUCUUUCCUUUGGGAUAUGCUAAUGAUAAAUCUGCAAGUUGAAGUGUUACCAUAGUAAGUCUUACUUCACCUAUUCCCAACAACUUGAAAAUAGAUUUGCGCAUCAAGUUGAUGCUUACUCUUAAGUCGCAUAAAGCUUUAAUGCAGUAUAAUUCACCAAUGUUGCAAGGUAUCGUAAAGAUUCUAGAAUCCUUCAGUUUCAGAGGUAGUUUGUUCUAUAAGAAUGCACUACUUUCCUUCAUCAAAGUGACAGUCUCAUACUUCAUAAAUUUCACAUAAUUGGGCAUUUGUUUUAAAGCCUCCACCAACGGAAUGUUAAUGUGUAAUUGCUUUAAAACAUCCAAGAACUUCUCGAAUUCUACCUUUGUUUUUUCUUGUUUUGUUGAAGUCUUUGAGGAUAUGGAACUCUAGGUUGAUAUGGACAACUUUUUUGACGAGGUAAACCUGUAAAAUAGGGUGUUAACUUUUCAGAAUUCACAAGUUUAGGGUUUACCUCAUCAGAUUUUUAGCAUCUAAUUUUUCUAUUGUAGGAACGUCAAUUGUUGGUUGACUUUUCUCCUUUCCAGUAGGCUUAUCUUCAACCACAACCUUCUUAGGCUCCAAAAUCUUACCACUUCAUAAUUCUACCACUUUGAAAUGAUCCUUACCAAAAUUUUUUGGAUUUUCUGUGUCACUCGACAAGGCUCCUUGUGGUCUACUAUAAAGCUCAGUAGCUAAUUGACCCAUCUGGUUCUCCAUAUUUUUCAACAUUGCUGCUUGACUUUGUAUUAAGGCGUUAUUUUUUGCCAUUUAUGCCCUCAACAAGUUCUCCAAACUGUUUGUUGAUUCAGCUUAAGGUGGUUUUGGGGUUUAGUAGUUAAACCCUUGGGUUUGGUUGGGUCUAUGCUGCAUUUGAUUUUUGUGCAGUCCAUUUCCUUGAUUACUCCAAAAAAAUUUUGGAUGGUUCUACCACAAUGGAUAGUGGAAGUUGGACUGUGAUCCUUGUCCACUUCUAUUUUGAUACUGCUUCCAUAUAUAACAAAUUAAUUUGGGAUUUGAAGGGAAAUUCUCGAAAGAAUGACAUUACCCACAGUAUACACAAGAAACUACAUCAUACUGACCUGGUAAUUGAGCUGCAAAAUUGUUCAAACCAUUAGUGGUAAACUGUUUUAACAUAAAGGAAAUAGAAGAUACCUGAGCAGUGAGUGAAUUCAGUGCAUCCAUUUCAUGCACUCUGGCUAUACGUCUUCCUAAAACUGCCUAAUUUGUUGGCCAUUAGAAAUUGUUUCUUGUAAUCCUCUCAAUGAUCUCAUAAGCCUCGUUAUAAGACUUAGACAAAAUUGCACCAUUCGCAGAAACAUCUACCAUUAAUCUUGUGUGUGAGUUGAGACAGUUAUAAAACAUGUCCAAUUGGAUACAAUGAGGAAUCCCACGAUGAGGACACUUAUGAAGUAAUUCCUUGAAUCUUUCCUAUACGUCGUAUAAAGAUUUUUUAUCCAAUUGUUCGAAAGUUUUUAUAUCAUUAUGUAACUUUGAGUUCUUACUUGGUGGAAAAUAUUUUACCAAAAACCUUUCUGCUGAUUCUUGCCAGGUAGAUAUUGAACUUGGUGGCAAUAAAUUCAGCCAUUCUCGUGCUCGAUCUUGCAACGAGCAUGGAAAUAGUUUUAACCUCAGUGCGCCUUCAAUCACACUAGCUAACUUAAAUGAAUAACCCACCUCCGUGAACAAAUGAAGGUGUAAGUAUGGAUCUUCUGUAAGCAUACCACUGAAAUGACCCAUCGUUUGGAGCAUUUGAAACAUCACUGGUUUCAAUUCGAGUUGGGUUGCCUAGAUAUCCAGCCUCCUAAUUCCUGGAUUUAACUAAUUAAAGAGUGGCACAGUAUAUUGUCUGAUGACACGAUCCCUAUCAUCGGCAAUUAGGAUUAGGUUGUGCACUUGAUUGACUCCGUUACCUUGUUCCUCAUUUUGAUUUCCAAGGUCCAUCUCGGCUUGUCAUUGAGCAGAUCUCUCAUGUCUUCUUUGUCUAAAAGUUCGCUCGAUUUUAGGGUCCACGGAUAAUAGAUCAAUGAUUUGACUAUGCUCACAAAACACCUGAUAAAUAAAUAACAAUUAAAGAAUAAAGAAUAAAUUAAUAGAGUUAAAAAUUAAAGAAAAUAAUAAAAACCAAAUUGUAAAAUAAUUUCACAAAUAAUGAUUAAGGCAACAGUCCCCGGAACGGUGCCAAAAACUUGUAACGAAUUGUAACAUGUUUAUGCAAGUGUACGUAGUCGUUGAAGUAAUAAGCAAGUAAAAAUGAGUUAUCGUCUCCACAGAGACUGUAUAAGCUUAACCAAUUAAUUGCAAAAUUGUAAAUAACAAUUUGAUGUAAAAACUCAAUAAUUUUGGAUGAUGAUUAAAUUAAUUAAAUUAAUUAGUUGCAAAGAUUGAUUCCUAUGUAAUUCUAAUCUAGAUGCAAUUUAUCAAAAUUAAUGAAUAAAUGGCUUUAGCAACAAAAACAAUCAACAUUAAAUGGGCUAAGAUAAUUAUAUUAAUCAAAUCAACUUACUUUAAUCAUACUAACAUGUUCGAAAUUACUUCCAUGGCAACUCGAUCUCUUAUGGGUUUGGAAACCAAAUUAAGUCCUCUUGGGUUUUUUACUUAGUUAAAUGUGCAUGUUACUGAUUAUAUUAGACUAAAGGUUUCUUAGAAUUUAUGCAAGGUCACAAGGACAUUUACGUUUGUAAAAGUUUAAUUACAUAAACCUAAAAACCAUGUAAGGCAAUAGAGCUAACUAAAUUACGAACCUUAACUUAGUUGGUUUUAAUGACUAAAUUAAGCUUUGCACUUUUCAAUUAUGUGUCUACUAGCCGUCAUCUUGUUAGGACCGGUUAGCUAAUCUGAGUGCACCCAAUCACAUGUAAAUGAAAUGCAUCAUGAUAUUAAUUGAAAACAUAAUUGACUGAGGCACAAAACAUGUUAACAUGAAUUGAAUAAAUCUCAUUACAUUAAUAUAAUCAUCCUAGCAGCAUCAAAUACAAAGUAAAUAUGUUUAAAAUAAAUGAUAAGAGGAAAGAGUUUGCUCAGUUCAGCCGCCUUUCGGAUCUAUUUUGACUGAGUUGCUCAGCUUUGCUCCAUUUAGUAGCCUUUCGGGUCUAUUCUGAUUGAAGCGCUCCUCCAUUCUGAUUGAAGCUUCUUUUUCUAAGGGUUUAAAAGGUAGCACACUAAAGAGUGCUUUUAACAAAGCUUUUGUGGCUAAAGAAGGGAGAGGGGAUGGACGACUUGUAAUAUCCUGAUUUUGGGCCUAGUCGGAAUAGUAGUUUCGUGACCACAAAAUUCGAGAUAGAAAUAAUUAUUUUAUGAUUAUUUUAAGGUCUAUGAUAUGAUUGCAUGAUUGUGUGAAAAUUUAGUGAAGAAAUUUUAUGCAUAAAGUGCUUAAAUUGAAAUUAGGGACUAAAUCGAAUAAUUUGCAAAACUUGCAUUCUAGAAGUUUCUAGUAUGAAAUUGUUUUGAAAUAUUAAAUUAGGAGGUCUUAAAUAGAAAUUUUACCAAUUUCUAAGUCUAUGGACAAAAAUUGGACAUGGAUGGAAUUUUUGAAAAGUUUAGUAGUAAGGGCAUUUUGGUCAUUUAGGGGUAAAAUGAAUUAAAAUACAAAAUUAAAAGCCAAUUUUGCUCAUCUUCGACCCCAUGGCCGAAUGUAGCAAGGAGAAACCAUGGCUAGGGUUUUUCAAGCUUCCAAGCUCGAUUGUAAGUCCGUUCUAGCCUCGUUUUUAAUGAUUUUUACGUUUUUGGAGUCCCGGUAGCUCGAUUUAGCUUAUGCUAGCAAUAAUUCAACCUAGAGUUCAUAUUUGGAAAAAUACCCAUAGGUGAAAUUUGUGUAUUUUGGUGUUUUAUGAUAGAAUAUGAGGUUUUAAAUUAUGUUAGACAACUUGUACUACUCGGUUUUAAGCGAAAACGAGCAAAAGGGCUUAAUCGGUAAAAAUACCUAAUAGUCAUAAGUACAUGUUAGAGUGAGAAUUUGAUGUUGCCAUAGAAGGGAAAAAUGAUCAGCAUGUCAUAAAACAUAAGAAAAUAGGCUGAAGUUUAAUUUACAAGCUUUGGGGAAAAAGUGUAAAUAUGCAAAAGUUUAGGGGCAAAAUUGUAAUUUUUCCAAAAUAUGAUUUUGGGUCAAUUUGAAUAAUUUGAGUCCUAAUUAGACUACAUUUUAAAUGAUAGAGCAAGGAAAACUGAAAUUCAAGCUAAAAUGGGGAAAAUACCAAGUUGUGGACGAAAUGGUAAAAGUAGCCAUUUUCGCAUACGAGGUAAGUUCAUAUGUAAAUGUUGGUAACAUAGUUAUUAUUUUAAAUGUUUUUAUGUUAUUUAAAUGAUAUGAUAAUUAUUAUGAAAUAUCAUACUUGUGACAAUUGUUUGAUAAUAUGUCAAAUUAUGUGAUAUACUUGGAAAAUGAAAUGUGAAAUACUACCGAGUAUCGGUAUCGACAUUCCGUAGGAGAUGGUUGAGACACAUGAUUGGGAAAAAGGUCCCGUUGAACCUUAGGAAUGGGUUAGGAUACAAGUGACAUGUCACUAGGAUGUUUGGGCAUCCGAACUCGUUGAGUUGAGUCCGAGUUCACUUAUGGAUGCGAAUGUCCGAACUCGUUGAGUUGAGUCCGAGUUCGAGAGAUGUAACUAGGCAUCCGAGCUUGUUGAGUUGAGUUCGAGUUCACUUAUGGAUGCGAACGCUUGAGCUCGUUGAGUUGAGUCCGAGUUCGCUUAUGGGCGGGUUACAUGGUAGCUUGGCUACAUAUGUGGCACUUAUGUGCAAACUUUCCAUGUAUCCGAAUUAUAUUCCGAUGUGUUCAACGGGUAAAGUUCUACUGAAAUGGAGGAAUACUCAAGAUGAAAGGGACGUAUUGGUAAGUGUUGUGAAAUGAAUACUUUGAACAGGUAUGUACUUAACCCUCGGGUUGAAAACUCGAUAUAACAACAAUAUGGUAAGAUGAUAAAUGAAAAUGUGAUAUGAAUGUCUCGGUGAUGAUUAUGCAAAUGAUGUUUUAUGUUUGCUUAUAUAGUUAUGUUACUUGCUAUUUGCAUGUGAACUUACUAAGCAUUUAUGCUUACUCCCUCCUUUUCAUUCCUUGUAGUUUUGAACAAGCCAGCUCGGGAAUCGGGACGGGUCGAAGGUUCGAUCACACUAUCCAAAGGACUUUCAUCUGGGUAAAUGGCUUGUAAAACUUAAGUAUGGC